rnacentral:rRNA from 1 species
CAGUCGCCGCGGUAAUACGAAGGGGGCUAGCGUUGUUCGGAUUUACUGGGCGUAAAGGGCGCGUAGGCGGACUGAUAAGUCAAGGGUGAAAUCCCAAGGCUCAACCUUGGAACUGCCUUUGAUACUGUUUGUCUUGAGUUCGAGAGAGGUAAGUGGAACUGCGAGUGUAGAGGUGAAAUUCGUAGAUAUCCGCAAGAACACCAGUGGCGAAGGCGGCUUACUGGCUCGAAACUGACGCUGAGGCGCGAAAGCGUGGGGAGCAAACAGGAUUAGAUACCCCCGUAGUCCCUGUCUCUUAUAC